UGUUCUGUGGCUUUGUUGGUUAAUGCGCCGGAUUAGCGCUUCGGAGUCGUGGCUUCAAAUCCCACCAAAACAA
rnacentral:tRNA from 1 species